CUGGGUCCCCUCCGGUUUUGGCAUUGCUCAGGCGUCUAGUGCUACUCUGUCUUCAAUGUAAUUUGUGGUUGGUAGCCAGGCAUGUUCCGGGGGUGGACAAUGUCAUUGCUGACUCUCUUUCUCGGUUUCAGUGGGACCGUUUUCGGGAGGCGGCUCCGGAGGCGGCGCCGACGGGAACCCCGUGUCCGCCUUACUUGUGGGACCUGGUUUUGGACAUCUGAGGCGAUUGAUCCGAGGGUCCUUAUCGGAGU